UGCAAUAUUCCAAUUUUCCACCAACAAUGAGAACAAGAAUACACUUCAGAUUCAAUUCUGAAGUUCGAAUAUUUAAAGGGUAGCGAUUUUAACACUCGUCUUUUAUGCAUUCGCAAGUAGAGUUUGGGAUGCUAAUUGAGAAGUGUGAAAAUCGCUGAAAUGAUAUACUUUGCAAGCAGUAUAAAGAAUAAAAAAUCAUAUAAACAUCAAACUGGUGCAUAAGAAUAAUGAUCAGAACAAAAAUGCAAUAGAGGUGUGUUUAGAAAUCAUAAUUACCAAGAAGAUAUCAUGCUGCAUAACCCAUCAGCAAACCCUCCAAAAAAGCCAGGUCCUCCCAUGAAACCAGGACCCCAAGGGCCCCCCGGGCCAGGGCCCCAGCCACCAGGUCCUCCAGGCCCAGGACCGCCCCAUCCGCCAGGUCCUCCAGGCCCGGGGCCUCCCCAUCCACCUCCUCCCGGACCGCCACCACCUGGGCCUCCCCAGCCACCUCCACCACCCGGUCCUCCUCCUCCACCAGGUCCUCCAGGCCCCAUAGCUAACUCUUUAUCUCACAAUUGCACCACGGCAGUCACCACCCGAUCAAGGUAACAAAGUAGGAGUGCAAAGAUGUAGCUAAUCCUGAUAAAGAAUAGAAUACCAAAGCUAACUAAACAAGUUUUUCAGCUGACUAUAUUUAAACAUA
rnacentral:lncRNA from 1 species